rnacentral:rRNA from 1 species
AUACGUAGGUGGCAAGCGUUGUCCGGAAUUAUUGGGCGUAAAGCGCGCGCAGGCGGUCCUUUAAGUCUGAUGUGAAAGCCCACGGCUCAACCGUGGAGGGUCAUUGGAAACUGGGGGACUUGAGUGCAGAAGAGGAAAGUGGAAUUCCAAGUGUAGCGGUGAAAUGCGUAGAGAUUUGGAGGAACACCAGUGGCGAAGGCGACUUUCUGGUCUGUAGCUGACGCUGAGGCGCGAAAGCGUGGGGAGCAAACAGGAUUAGAUACCCUGGUAGUCCACGCCGUAAACGAUGAGUGCUAAGUGUUAGGGGGUUUCCGCCCCUUAGUGCUGCAGCUAACGCAUUAAGCACUCCGCCUGGGGAGUACGGUCGCAAGACUGAAACUCAAAGGAAUUGACGGGG